UUCCGGUUGAUCCUGCCGGAGGCCAUUGCUAUCGGAGUCCGAUUUAGCCAUGCUAGUCGUGCGAGUUCAGACUCGCGGCACCGAGCUCAGUAACACGUGGCCAAACUACCCUACAGAGACGGAUACCCUCGGGAAACUGAGGUUAACCCGUCAUACCGAUCUCAGGCUUGAAUCGCAGAGAUCACAAAAUGCCCCGGCGCUGUAGGAUGUGGCUGCGGUUGAUUAGGUAGACGGUGGGGUAACGGCCCACCGUGCCCAUAAUCAGUACAGGUUGUGAGAGCAAGAACCUGGAGACGGAAUCUGAGACAAGAUUCCGGGCCCUACGGGGCGCAGCAGGCGCGAAACCUUUACACUGCACGCACGUGCGAUAAGGGGACUCCGAGUGCGAGGGCAUAUCGUCCUCGCUUUCGUGUACCGUAGGGUGGUACACCAACAAGGGCUGGGCAAGACCGGUGCCAGCCGCCGCGGUAAUACCGGCAGCCCGAGUGAUGGCCGAUCUUAUUGGGCCUAAAGCGUCCGUAGCUGGCUGCGCAAGUCCGUCGGGAAAUCCACUCGCCCAACGAGUGGGCGUCCGACGGAAACUGCACAGCUUGGGACCGGAAGGCUCGAAGGGUACGUGCGGGGUAGGAGUGAAAUCCUAUAAUCCCGCACGGACCACCGAUGGCGAAAGCACUUCGAGAAAACGGAUCCGACAGUGAGGGACGAAAGCCAGGGUCUCCAACCGGAUUAGAUACCCGGGUAGUCCUGGCCGUAAACAAUGUUCGCUAGGUAUG
rnacentral:rRNA from 1 species